ACUACGGGGUGCAGCAGUGGGGAAUAUUGCGCAAUGGGCGAAAGCCUGACGCAGCGACGCCGCGUGAGGGAUGAAGGUCUUCGGAUCGUAAACCUCUGUCAGCAGGGAAGAACGGUCACUGUGCUAAUCAGCAGUGAAUUGACGGUACCUGCAAAGGAAGCACCGGCUACCUCCGUGCCAGCAGCCGCGGUAAUACGGAGGUUGCGAGCGUUAAUCGGAAUUACUGGGCGUAAAGCGCUCGUAGGCGGUAUGUCAAGUCAAGGGUGAAAUCCCCGCGCUCAACGUGGGAACUGCCUUUGAAACUGGCAAACUGGAGUGUGUGAGAGGAUAGUGGAAUUCCAGGUGUAGGAGUGAAAUCCGUAGAUAUCUGGAGGAACAUCAGUGGCGAAGGCGACUAUCUGGCACAUAACUGACGCUGAAGAGCGAAAGCGUGGGUAGCAAACAGGAUUAGAUACCCGGGUAGUC
rnacentral:rRNA from 1 species